rnacentral:rRNA from 1 species
UACAGAGGGUGCAAGCGUUGUUCGGAAUCAUUGGGCGUAAAGGGCGUGUAGGCGGUUUGUUAAGUCAUGUGUGAAAUCCCUCGGCUUAACCGGGGAACUGCGUCUGAUACUGGAUGGCUUGAAUCCGGGAGAGGGAUGCGGAAUUCCAGGUGUAGCGGUGAAAUGCGUAGAUAUCUGGAGGAACACCGGUGGCGAAGGCGGCAUCCUGGACCGGCAUUGACGCUGAGGAGCGAAAGCCAGGGGAGCAAACGGG